rnacentral:rRNA from 1 species
AGCCGAACUGAGAGGUUGAUCGGCCACAUUGGGACUGAGACACGGCCCAAACUCCUACGGGAGGCAGCAGUAGGGAAUCUUCCACAAUGGACGCAAGUCUGAUGGAGCAACGCCGCGUGAGUGAAGAAGGCUUUCGGGUCGUAAAACUCUGUUGUUGGAGAAGAAUGGUCGGCAGAGUAACUGUUGUCGGCGUGACGGUAUCCAACCAGAAAGCCACGGCUAACUACGUGCCAGCAGCCGCGGUAAUACGUAGGUGGCAAGCGUUAUCCGGAUUUAUUGGGCGUAAAGCGAGCGCAGGCGGUUUUUUAAGUCUGAUGUGAAAGCCCUCGGCUUAACCGAGGAAGUGCAUCGGAAACUGGGAAACUUGAGUGCAGAAGAGGACAGUGGAACUCCAUGUGUAGCGGUGAAAUGCGUAGAUAUAUGGAAGAACACCAGUGGCGAAGGCGGCUGUCUGGUCUGUAACUGACGCUGAGGCUCGAAAGCAUGGGUAGCGAACAGGAUUAGAUACCCUGGUAGUCCAUGCCGUAAACGA